UGCCAGCCGCCGCGGUAAUACAGAGGGUGCGAGCGUUGUCCGGAUUUAUUGGGCGUAAAGCGUUUGUAGGCGGUUUGCCAAGUCUGAAGUGAAAGAAUGAAGCUCAACUUCAUCCACGCUUUGGAAACUGGUAGACUAGAGAAUGUUAGGGGUAAGUGGAAUUUCCAGUGUAGCGGUGAAACGCGUAGAUAUUGGAAGGAACACCGGAGGCGAAGGCGACUUACUGGGACAUUUCUGACGCUGAGAAACGAAAGCCAGGGUAGCGAAUGGGAUUAGAUA
rnacentral:rRNA from 1 species